rnacentral:misc_RNA from 1 species
GCAAACUUGGUCAUUUAGAGGAAGUAAAAGUCGUAACAAGGUCUCCGUUGGUGAACCAGCGGAGGGAUCAUUAAAGAGUUAGCAUAACUCCUAAACCCAUGUGAACUUUACCUAUUGUUGCCUCGGCAGGUCGCGCCUACCUUGUAAGACCCUACCCUGUAGGACCUUACCCGGUAGACGCGGGGUAAUCCUGCCGGCGGCUUACUCAACUCUGUUUAUUAUGUUAUUCUGAAUAUGUCACUAAAUAAGUUAAAACUUUCAACAACGGAUCUCUUGGUUCUGGCAUCGAUGAAGAACGCAGC